UAUGAACGCUAGCGAUAGGCUUAACACAUGCAAGUCGAGGGGCAGCAUGGUCUUAGCUUGCUAAGGCUGAUGGCGACCGGCGCACGGGUGCGUAACGCGUAUGCAACUUGCCUCACAGAGGGGGAUAACCCGUCGAAAGACGGACUAAUACCGCGUACACUCUAUGUUGGGCAUCCAAUGUAGAGGAAAUGAAAUUCGCUGUGAGAUAGGCAUGCGUCCCAUUAGCUAGUUGGUGAGGUAACGGCUCACCAAGGCGACGAUGGGUAGGGGAACUGAGAGGUUGAACCCCCACACUGGUACUGAGACACGGACCAGACUCCUACGGGAGGCAGCAGUGAGGAAUAUUGGUCAAUGGGCGAGAGCCUGAACCAGCCAAGUCGCGUGAAGGAUGACUGUCUUAUGGAUUGUAAACUUCUUUUAUACGGGAAUAACAAGAGUCACGUGUGGCUCCCUGCAUGUACCGUAUGAAUAAGCAUCGGCUAACUCCGUG
rnacentral:rRNA from 1 species